AUGUCACCUUUGCGAUUCUCGCCGGGCCCAACGUGAGUAAGCCUUUUGGAGUCUCACGCGGCCUUAAAGAAAAAAAAAAAAAUGAGAGACAAUAUGGGAAGAAAAUCUUCAUCGCAGCUAUGGGGCAGGUAGCACAUGCAUCCGUGCUGGACCAUGUCUCCCUUGCGAUUCUCUCCUGGUCCAAGGUGAGUAAGCCUUUCGGAAUCUCACUUGGCCAACAAAAUCGUGAGACAAUAUAGGAAGAAAGUCUUCAUUGCAGCUGUGGGGCAGGUAGCUAGGCAUCGUGAAAUCUGUGUUGGACCAUGUCACCCUUGCGAUUCUCUCUUGACCAUGCGUGAGUAAGCCUUUUGGAGUCUCACUAGGUCAACACUACAACAAAAUCAAAUCUUUGUUUGUUUCAGCACAGAAAGAAAAAAAAAACGAGACAAAGGAAGAAAGUCUUCGUCGUAGCUAUGGGGCAGGAUAUCCUUGUCACCAUUCCGGUACUCCGUAGGUUGUUGUGAGUGAGCCUUUUGGAUUCUCAUUUUACCUUAUUGAGAUAAAAAAAGGGGUUGCCCAUAAUAGUUUUUGCCACAUUCAGGGACACCAAUACAGCCAUGUCGUUACCGUUACAAGUCCCUCUGGAUGAGCUGAGUGAGCCUUUCGGAUUCUCACCUCAUCCAUCAUCAGUCCUUCUGUUGCGUUCAAGUAUUCAUUUAUGUGAUCACUAGAAUAUGCGCAAACUUUAAAGCUAUAUUCGAAUUGUGUUUGAGUGUGGAAGUCCAACAGUUCACAAUUUCUUUCGGGUACGUCCAGCUGAAUAUGGUACCAUGAGUUAGAGGCUGAAUUUCCUUUUACUGGGGGAGUUUGUUACUUGCGAUGCACCGAAGCAGUUUAGAAAGAUGCAGAAGGACAUUGAUUCAAGGAAAAUAUCUAGAAGAAAAUUGGGAACUUGCUUUUGGUACUAUGAUCUUCAUCAAUGUCUGAGUAGGUGUUGUGUCUGGAAACAAAGCCACUAGCAAUAUUGUUUUAGUAAGUUCAAGAACAUCAGGAUGGGGAAAACACUCAUAGAAUGUUUUAUAUUAUGGUUGCCCAGGGUUCAAGGUUCAGCUAUCGAGUCUGCAGGUAAUUCUGAUGAAGAUGAGGAUGCACCUGCAGGCACAAGGAAAAGUUUUUUGCACAACUACUGACAAGAGAACAGAUAGCAGCACGACUUGCUGAUACUGAAAGAGCAUGGCUCAUAGGAGCUUAGUGAAGCCAACCAGCAUAAUCAGUUCCCAAAAGACAGUGGUUGACUAGAUAAAUAAUCGGAACGUUGGAAGAACCACACUUUAAAAGCUGGCUCAUGAGGUUGAGGAGCUUGAGAUCAAUGAGAAUUCCACAUUGGAACCUAUCCUCCCCUAUAUGGGACUCAGAGGAAGAAGAAGAAUGUUGAUAAAGGAAGAAGAGUGUUGAUCAGAGUAAAUAUUUUGGGAAGCGCAGGACCUUUGAGGUGGUGAACGAAGAUGAUGUCAUUUUUUUUUUUUGGUUUGGGCCUAAAAUGAACUGUAGAUUGAUAGAAGCCCAAAGAAACAAAAGAGAAAAUGUCAAGCCCAAUAAGCCACCAUUUAAGACAAGGCCUGGUCCACUUCGAGAUGAGCUUCCAAGCUAAGCAUGUGCUGAGUUGGCAAGAGUAAAGCCUUAAGACUCGAAAUGACUAAGCGUGGAAGGUCUUUAUUUGGACGUGAGGCCAUUACCUCAGCAUGUCCCAUAUCUCGCCAGAUCAUGCCAUGUAUAGCAAAUAUUUCGACAUAUGGGCUUUGGAUGCUGUGGGACCAACAGACUCAAACAAGCAUUACAAAUAGAUGCCAAUAGAUGAAAAUCGCAGCAGCAAGCUCAUGAUAUACAA